GGUGAGAUGGCCGAGCGGUCUAAGGCGCCAGACUAAGGUGGUUCGAUGGGUAGCACCUAUAUCGAGACAGGUCACGUGGUUAUUACGUAAUAAUCUGGUCCGCAGGGGCGUGGGUUCGAAUCCCACUCUCAUCA